ACAAAGGCUCUUUCAAGAGCCACCCACACAUCUGUAGAGAGCGAU
rfam:Gasterosteus aculeatus cont1.001743, whole genome shotgun sequence.